UACGGGGGAGCAAGCGUUGUUCGGAUUUACUGGGCGUAAAGGGCGCGUAGGCGGUCAGCACAAGUCAGUUGUGAAAUCUCCGGGCUUAACUCGGAAAGGUCAACUGAUACUGUGCGACUAGAGUGCAGAAGGGGCAACUGGAAUUCUCGGUGUAGCGGUGAAAUGCGUAGAUAUCGUAAGGAAGACCAGUGGCGAAGGCGGGUCUCUGGACAGUUCCUGACGCUGAGGCACGAAGGCCAGGGGAGCAAACGGG
rnacentral:rRNA from 1 species